rnacentral:rRNA from 1 species
AUACGGAGGGUGCGAGCGUUAAUCGGAAUUACUGGGCGUAAAGCGUACGUAGGCGGUUUGCUAAGUCAGAUGUGAAAGCCCCGGGCUUAACCUGGGAACUGCAUUUGAUACUGGCAGACUAGAGUAUGCUAGAGGGGGGUAGAAUUCCUGGUGUAGCGGUGAAAUGCGUAGAUAUCAGGAGGAAUACCAGUGGCGAAGGCGGCCCCCUGGAUCAAUACUGACGCUGAGGUACGAAAGCGUGGGGAGCGAACAGAAUUAGAAACCCUAGUAGUCC